UGAGCAAUCUGCCCUUCUCUUUGGAAUAAGCGUUGGAAACGACGUCUAAUGCCGAAUACGACCUCCUUUCGCAUGAUCGGAGGUGGAAAGCUCCGGCGGAGAAGGAUGAGCUCGCGGCCUAUCAGCUAGUUGGUGGGGUAGUGGCCUACCAAGGCGACGACGGGUAGCCGGCCUGAGAGGGUGACCGGCCACACUGGGGCUGAGACACGGCCCAGACUCCUACGGGAGGCAGCAGG
rnacentral:rRNA from 1 species